rnacentral:rRNA from 1 species
UAACCUGCCCAAGAGACUGGGAUAACACCUGGAAACAGAUGCUAAUACCGGAUAACAACACUAGACGCAUGGUCUAGAGUUUAAAAGAUGGUUCUGCUAUCACUCUUGGAUGGACCUGCGGUGCAUUAGCUAGUUGGUAAGGUAACGGCUUACCAAGGCAAUGAUGCAUAGCCGAGUUGAGAGACUGAUCGGCCACAUUGGGACUGAGACACGGCCCAAACUCCUACGGGAGGCAGCAG